rnacentral:rRNA from 1 species
GAUGAACGCUGGCGGCGUGCCUAAUACAUGCAAGUCGAGCGAACGGACGAGGAGCUUGCUUUUCUGAUGUUAGCGGCGGACGGGUGAGUAACACGUGGAUAACCUACCUAUAAGACUGGGAUAACUUCGGGAAACCGGAGCUAAUACCGGAUAAUAUUUUGAACCGCAUGGUUCAAAAGUGAAAGACGGUCUUGCUGUCACUAAUAGAUAGAUCCGCGCUGCAUUAGCUAGUUGGUAAGGUAACGGCUUACCAAGGCAACGAUGCAUAGCCGACCUGAGAGGGUGAUCGGCCACACUGGAACUGAGACACGGUCCAGACUCCUACGGGAGGCAGCAGUAGGGAAUCUUCCGCAAUGGGCGAAAGCCUGACGGAGCAACGCCGCGUGAGUGAUGAAGGUCUUCGGAUCGUAAAACUCUGUUAUUAGGGAAGAACAUAUGUGUAAGUAACUGUGCACAUCUUGACGGUACCUAAUCAGAAAGCCACGGCUAACUACGUG